GCGGAAGUGGUGGAAUUGGUAGACACGCUGGAUUUAGGUUCCAGUGCCGCAAGGUGUGAGAGUUCGAGUCUCUCCUUCCGCACCA
rnacentral:tRNA from 2 species